GCCUGGAUGGUGAAAUUGGUAUACACACAGGACUUAAAAUCCUGGAGCUUGUAAAAAGCUGUGUGGGUUCAAAUCCCACUCUAGGUA
rnacentral:tRNA from 2 species